AAGUCACAGUGCAGAUCAAUAUCCCUAAACAUAGUCUAACAUUAUAUGGUGUAUUCUAUAGCCUCCUUCUUUCCAUAUUUGACUUCCAUUCUCGCUGGUGAGGAACCUGGCUCUCAUAGGAUCAAUUCACUUGUAGAUGGCAGAGCAAAAAGUACAAUGUUCAGGAGAGGAAAUAGUUAAGGGAAAAGUGAAUUGCCUUGGGCAGGGGGACGUGGAUCUGGAACGCAGGUGAUGCUGUUCAGGUAAAGCAGGAGGACAUGGCUUCCCUCGGAGUGGCCCAGGUAGGUUUGUUUACAUGCGGGAGGGAAGAGGAGAAAUGCCCAUCUGACACUUUCUAUUUUCUCUGUAGGUAGGAGGUGAGGUAAAAUGAGGUGAAGCUGAAAAUACACAGAUUUAGUUAACUUACCCAGUGUCCCAUCACUAGAGUGUAUCAGAACAGUAAAAACACCUAUCCUGUCCCCAUGUGAGAUGUUGAUCUAACUUGGUGACUUUUUGGAAGCCUUCCUUUAGU
rnacentral:lncRNA from 1 species